AAAGAACUGAACGGUAAGCAUGUUCCUCAUUUUAUGAGCCUUGAAUGCGACGUCAGAUUAGUAAGUGCAUUUACUCUCUUCCUUCAAUUAGAACUGUAAUUGUAACUGUUAAUUCCUUCAAUUAAACUGCGAAGCCUACUGAAAGUAGCGAAAAGAAGAGUUAAGGCGGAAAGGAGCAAGAAUUCGAGAACUUUGUGAUGAAUUUGAAAGAAGUCCACAAGGACAUGAAAUUAAAAAAAUAGUUAAUGAGGAAUUUCAACUGGAUAGGAUGUUAUUUCCAUGCAGAAAAGAAUUUGAUAUUCAAGCUUGAAAAGAUUUAUCUGAAGGAUUUCUUUGAAGGUGUUGUGAAAGGCAAUGGCAACGAUGCAGUUUGUCAUUCAAGUUCUUAUACAUGAUAUGUUUUACAUGGUGAAAAAUGAAUAAUUUUACACGAAAUUAACGAAAAUGUGAUAAAAUGAAUUAAUAAAAAUUAUUUUAAAUUUUUAAAAA